rnacentral:sRNA from 1 species
CCCACGGCUCGCGGCGUGGGCUACUUUCUGCCGCCGCUCCGCGGCU